GACCUGGUGGUGAGGGGUAUUACAUCCGCACUCAGAACAUAUACUAUGUUCAUUUGUUUGUGGAGGGUCCUGGUUCGAUUCCAGGCUAAGUAG